GUUAAGCGACUAAGCGUACACGGUGGAUGCCCUGGCAGUCAGAGGCGAUGAAGGACGUGCUAAUCUGCGAUAAGCGUCGGUAAGGUGAUAUGAACCGUUAUAACCGGCGAUUUCCGAAUGGGGAAACCCAGUGUGAUUCGUCACACUAUCAUUAACUGAAUCCAUAGGUUAAUGAGGCGAACCGGGGGAACUGAAACAUCUAAGUACCCCGAGGAAAAGAAAUCAACCGAGAUUCCCCCAGUAGCGGCGAGCGAACGGGGAGCAGCCCAGAGCCUGAAUCAGUGUGUGUGUUAGUGGAAGCGUCUGGAAAGGCGCGCGAUACAGGGUGACAGCCCCGUACACAAAAAUGCACAUACUGUGAGCUCGAUGAGUAGGGCGGGACACGUGGUAUCCUGUCUGAAUAUGGGGGGACCAUCCUCCAAGGCUAAAUACUCCUGACUGACCGAUAGUGAACCAGUACCGUGAGGGAAAGGCGAAAAGAACCCCGGCGAGGGGAGUGAAAAAGAACCUGAAACCGUGUACGUACAAGCAGUGGGAGCACGCUUAGGCGUGUGACUGCGUACCUUUUGUAUAAUGGGUCAGCGACUUAUAUUCUGUAGCAAGGUUAACCGAAUAGGGGAGCCGAAGGGAAACCGAGUCUUAACUGGGCGUUAAGUUGCAGGGUAUAGACCCGAAACCCGGUGAUCUAGCCAUGGGCAGGUUGAAGGUUGGGUAACACUAACUGGAGGACCGAACCGACUAAUGUUGAAAAAUUAGCGGAUGACUUGUGGCUGGGGGUGAAAGGCCAAUCAAACCGGGAGAUAGCUGGUUCUCCCCGAAAGCUAUUUAGGUAGCGCCUCGUGAAUUCAUCUCCGGGGGUAGAGCACUGUUUCGGCAAGGGGGUCAUCCCGACUUACCAACCCGAUGCAAACUGCGAAUACCGGAGAAUGUUAUCACGGGAGACACACGGCGGGUGCUAACGUCCGUCGUGAAGAGGGAAACAACCCAGACCGCCAGCUAAGGUCCCAAAGUCAUGGUUAAGUGGGAAACGAUGUGGGAAGGCCCAGACAGCCAGGAUGUUGGCUUAGAAGCAGCCAUCAUUUAAAGAAAGCGUAAUAGCUCACUGGUCGAGUCGGCCUGCGCGGAAGAUGUAACGGGGCUAAACCAUGCACCGAAGCUGCGGCAGCGACGCUGAUGCGUUGUUGGGUAGGGGAGCGUUCUGUAAGCCUGUGAAGGUGUGCUGUGAGGCAUGCUGGAGGUAUCAGAAGUGCGAAUGCUGACAUAAGUAACGAUAAAGCGGGUGAAAAGCCCGCUCGCCGGAAGACCAAGGGUUCCUGUCCAACGUUAAUCGGGGCAGGGUGAGUCGACCCCUAAGGCGAGGCCGAAAGGCGUAGUCGAUGGGAAACAGGUUAAUAUUCCUGUACUUGGUGUUACUGCGAAGGGGGGACGGAGAAGGCUAUGUUGGCCGGGCGACGGUUGUCCCGGUUUAAGCGUGUAGGCUGGUUUUCCAGGCAAAUCCGGAAAAUCAAGGCUGAGGCGUGAUGACGAGGCACUACGGUGCUGAAGCAACAAAUGCCCUGCUUCCAGGAAAAGCCUCUAAGCAUCAGGUAACAUCAAAUCGUACCCCAAACCGACACAGGUGGUCAGGUAGAGAAUACCAAGGCGCUUGAGAGAACUCGGGUGAAGGAACUAGGCAAAAUGGUGCCGUAACUUCGGGAGAAGGCACGCUGAUAUGUAGGUGAAGCGACUUGCUC
rnacentral:rRNA from 1 species